GGUCAGAUGAGGUCUGCAAAUU
rnacentral:miRNA from 1 species